rnacentral:rRNA from 1 species
UUAGGGGGUUUCCGCCCCUUAGUGCUGCAGCUAACGCAUUAAGCACUCCGCCUGGGGAGUACGACCGCAAGGUUGAAACUCAAAGGAAUUGACGGGGGCCCGCACAAGCGGUGGAGCAUGUGGUUUAAUUCGAAGCAACGCGAAGAACCUUACCAGGUCUUGACAUCCUUUGACCACUCUGGAGACAGAGCUUUCCCUUCGGGGACAAAGUGACAGGUGGUGCAUGGUUGUCGUCAGCUCGUGUCGUGAGAUGUUGGGUUAAGUCCCGCAACGAGCGCAACCCUUGAUUUUAGUUGCCAGCAUUUAGUUGGGCACUCUAAAGUGACUGCCGGUGCAAGCCGGAGGAAGGUGGGGAUGACGUCAAAUCAUCAUGCCCCUUAUGACCUGGGCUACACACGUGCUACAAUGGAUAGUACAAAGGGUCGCGAAGCCGCGAGGUGGAGCUAAUCCCAUAAAACUAUUCUCAGUUCGGAUUGUAGGCUGCAACUCGCCUACAUGAAGCCGGAAUCGCUAG